rnacentral:lncRNA from 1 species
GGAGGCGGGGGGCGGCGGCGGGCGGCGGAGCGCGGGGGCUGGUUCCUGGUCCCCGGGAGAAGCCAAGAAGGUCCUGAGUUCAAGAGAAACAGGUGUCUAAACAGAAGUAAAAUCCUGUGGAAGUUUAGGAUAAUUGAAUUACUCGCAAAUUGGAGUAUCCUGGAAAACUUCCUGGAGGAAGUGGCCUGUGCUUUGUAUCAGGAAAAAUAGGUAUCAGAAUGGUGCGUGGGUUUGGUUUGAAGCUAAAGAAAGGAGAAAGAGCCAGAGAAGAAGAAAAAAAGGUAUUUUGCCUGAGGACUUGAGGCUCCCCCCCCCAACUUUCCUCCGCUUGACUGACUUUCUCACACUCAGAUUCCCUGCAGCCUGCCAGGGACGUGGUAACUGCCCUGCCAAGAGUGAUCCUGGGAGGGCUAUUGAAAGAGCUCUGAGUAAGUACACACUGGGCGGAUUUUCCCUCCCCUUCGUACCUGCUCCGCACCUGUACAGGGAGCAGUCCCACACAUAUCACCUGAUCGCAGCCCUUUCAGAGACCGUGAGAAAAAUAAAGUCCAGCAUAGAAGAGAUGUUUGUCUCUGCAGGGCUGCAGCCAGCUCCCCACGGUCCGGGUGCCCAGAAACAGCACAUUCCUGGCCGGGUGUGCACGCGUGUUUGCCCACACGCGCGUGCUGGGUGGGGGCACCAGCAGGGGAGGGGAGCCGGGCAUCACCUGCGUAAUAACUGCUUUGCUGCCUCCAUUUUUGGGCAUCCUUCCUGUCUGGAAGUUUUGUGAUCCUCUACUAGAAUCAUUAUUAUGGUCCCUCUAGACAAGAGUCUGUGUAUGCUCAUCACAGCUGAAUGCAUCACCAGGAUGUCAGACAUUAGGGUUCAUGGAUGAAACGCCCUGGGGCCUCUGAAGCCCUUGAAAUGGACCUUUAGAAAGAGCUUCUUUUUCCCCCGUGUUUGUCUUUUUAGGGCCUCCUUGGCAUAUGGAAGUUCCCAGGCUAGGGGUGGAAUCCGAGCCACAUCCGUGACCUACACCGCAGCUCACGACAACGCUGGAUCAUCAACCCACUGAGUGAGGCCAGAGAUCGAACCCGAGUUUUCCUGCACACCAGUUAGGUUUGUUACCACUGAGCCGCAACAGGAACUCCCAGGAGCUUUAUGAGUGAAUGAAUAAAUGCAUCAUUCCACCCCCACCUCACCGCCGCCACCCCGGGGGAGAGAGUCUACAGCUUUUAGCAGAAUCUCAAAGUUUUUUGUAACGCAGGAAGGUUGAGGAAGCUGAUCCAGGCAAUCUCGAUGUAUAAGUGGGUACUCUAAGGCCCAGAGAGGGCCAGGGACUGGUUCAGGCAACAUAGGGCAGAGUGGGGGCCAGAAGCCAGCUCGGAGUCCUUUGUACCAUUCCCCAGUGCUGUGGAUCUUGGGAAAUUUAGGGUGGGGUUUAUGGAGUUGGGAUCACCGCUAGAACUUGGAUUUAAAAUAGACACUUUAAUAAAGGUCCUUUGAGUCUCCAGAACUUUGUUUUCUUAAUUUGGGGGGUACUUGAGCUGCUCUGCACGCAGCAUUUGGACAGAGAUAGGAUGGGGGAAAGCCAAGUGUCUGCCCAUAGAAGAGGAUUCAGGAAUGCUUGGAGCAAGAGUCCUGGUUGCCAUGCAGAGGCAUUAGAAACGAUCACAACCCUGCAUUCCAUCUUUGAUAAAAACCAAGUUGCUACUUUGGAACAAAACUGCCUAGUUGAUUUCUGGCCAAGCUGGGACCUUGCACUGCAAACUGGGGGCGAGGGCAGAAAACAGAAGCUUUCAACAUUGGCUCAUAGCAGCCUCCCCCUGACCCCUCCCCUCCCUGCCCCCCUGAAAACUUGACUAGAGCCAGUGAGACCAAGGGAAAGUGCACUUUCCUAAUGGUCCCUGAACAGGAUGGUUGCCAAGAAGGCCUUUCCUGAUGGGGCGGGGGCAGGGCACCGGAAUGCCUUCACUCCCACAUUUGGCUGGCCCACAGCAGCCUUGGAGGGCAGGGUCUAAACGUGCUGUCAGCUAACCUCUAACCCUCUGAGCAAAACUGCGGGGAGGCCAGCCUGCAAGCCCCAGGUUGAAGGCAGGUGCUCCCGCGAGAUCACAUGCCUGCUGGCUUGCACACUUGUGGUGAAUGACUCGAAACAGUGCUGGGGCUGGUGCCUUUGGGAGCUUCUGGGAAGUUCAGGAAGGUGGGUGAAGCCUUAGCCCCUUUAAACCCAGACCAUGUUUGUGUUUGCUGAUACCUGCUCAAAUUGUGACAUCGGGUCACGUUUCUCAAAAAAUCAAAAACAGAAACAAUUCAGCUAGCCAAGAAAAUCAGUUGGAUAAACCUUAGGACCUGACAUUGAUAUAGGAUGAAUGUAUCUGGCAUCUUUUCAAUUAAGAUUGCCAUCAUUGUUACCUUGCUUAUUAUCCUCAGCCUAUAGGACAAGGAUGGGGGGAGGCAGAGGAUGGGACCUAAGAGGUGGCCGAAUGGGUCUAUUCAUUGAAUGCAUUGGAAAACUGAACCCAGGGAGAAGCGACUGGCCCAAGGUUUAACAACUUCCCCAGAGAGGGAAGAGCAAAGCCAGAAUUAGGCUCAGGUUUUCCACCCACCAGUCCAGUAACCCUCCCCACUGUGUCUAUGAGAAGAACGCUUUGAAAUAUCAUCUGCAGCAAGUGACUAACGUUACCAACAAGAAGGGUUUUCCGGUUAAGAACCGGAGCUACCUGCUGGUAAGUGAGUGUGGCAGUGUGACACACCAUGCCCAGCAUAGAGUGUGGUUAAAGGCCAGGCUUGCUGCACUGUGAUUCCCUUUUGGAUUUGCUGACUACCCUGUAAUCUCUGGAAAAGAAGGAAUCUUGGUUUCCAAGUUCCAGAAGACAGGAAGUCGCUUGCAGAGGCCAUACAGAAUAGCAGAGGGAGAGGUGAGAAAGAAUGGAUUUUCCAAGUGGUAGGUAGAUGCUAUUUGCAUGUGAGCUGUAUAUGUUCCUUUUAAAUAAUCAGGCUUAGGAAACAGGAAGAGACAAUCCUGGCAGCUGUCACAACUGCAGCUUAAGACUCUGGUGGGUUCCAUCAGGUCUGGGAGCUUCUGGUCUCUCACAGAGGUACCUGUCCUGCUGCCUUGUAGUAUUUGACGGCUGACAGGCACUUUUUAGUCCAUUACAGCACUUCGUCCUCAUGUGUAGCCUUAUAAUCUUGCCUGGAAGGACUUUGGUGAAAGGCCCAGGGAGGGGAGGGAUGAUUCAGGUGACCAGUUCAGGAGGCUUUUGGCUAGACCCUGGGCUGUUGGGGGCCCAGAACAUAGGCUAGACAAGCUUUCCAGGGGAAAAAAAAAAAAA